AUGGACCUCGGGCAUCACUCCAUCCAGCUCAGUGCGGGUCCUGGCUCGCCGGCUGGCGCGAUGCCGGUGACGCCGCAGCCGGGCGAUGGCGGCACGAUGAGCCCCGAGCUGUACCUUGCCCUGUGCCGGGGGAGAAAGAAGGAAGCCAUGGCGCUGCUUCGGCAACAGCACGGUGGCGCCGCCGCCGCCGCUAAUCAGGUUGCCGGCAUACACCAGGUCAACGCGGAGGGGAACAGCUCCUUCAUCUGGCCGCGGAGCAUGGGCACGACAAGCUCAUCCAUGAUCUCGCAAGCUUCGGGGACAGGAGCUUGCUCUCUUCCCGAAACUCGACUCUGGACACACCUCUGCACUGCGCGGCGAGGGCGGGGCAUGGCAAGGCCGUGUCCCUCCUCGUCCGGCUCUCAUGCGAGGGCGGAGACGACAGCACCUUGUGGUGCAAGAACGAGGCUGGGAACACGGCCCUUCAUCUGGCGGCGAGGCUCGGCCAUGGCGCAGCAGUCGAGGCUAUGGUCUCCGCAGCGCCGGGGCUAG
rnacentral:rRNA from 1 species